AAAAGCGCGAAACACAGGGAUGUAAAGUGAAAAAUCAAAGCAAUCCUUCUGAUAUUUGAGCUGCACAACCAUGUCUUAUUUUUGUAGCUAUACCAUUACCUAGCACAGCUUCUCACAAGCAGUAGGUACUCAAGAAAUGAACAAAAUAUUUGCAUCUCUUUCUACUGCUUUGGUCUUGCAGUCUUGCCUUCAAGGCAGUUUUAUAUGAUACUUCAUAAACCACAAAAAUGCAUGAAAGAAGGACUUCUUCCUGUUAUUUGAGUCAGUAGCAUUUUUACUGGGGGGGGGAGCUGGAUGACAGUAUAAAUUUCUUUUGUUUUGAUUAAAUUAUUAUUUGUCCAUUUUGAUUUGACAUCCCAAUGUGGCUCUAUAGAGAAGCAUGCUUCUUCUCAGAGACAGUCCCUGGCUAAUGCAGCUUCUGCAGGAAUAUUCCUUUCUUCCUCGCUGCCCUAAAAUGGCUAGGAGAAAAGUAGCAGCAGCCUGAGAUCAUGCAUGUCUGAAGAAAUGCUGAAGAUACAUGAGGCCAUAGGACAGGCCCACCAGACUACUGGCCUGCCAUGACUGGGAAGAAUAUAGUCCAUAGAGGCUGGUCAUAAGCUGACACAACAUGAGUCCUUACUUGUGGUGAGUGGAGAGAGUUAUUUUACUGGGAAUUGUCUUCAUUUGUAAAUGAUGGCACCAAGGAGGGAUUUUCUGUUAAGAAAAUAGCUAGGAGAAUGUUCAGAGGCAAAAUGAGGAAAAUCCUCAGAUGAAUAAUUUAUGAUCAAAUUUAGGUCUACAUUCUUAUUUUCCUUAAAGAGCAC
rnacentral:lncRNA from 1 species